rnacentral:lncRNA from 1 species
AAGCAAUUGGUUGAUAGCUGUUCACCUUUUUAUCUAUUUUUUUUAUUGUGAUUUGUAUGGUUGCUAUUGCCUCUCUUUUGUUUCCCGUUUGUUCCACUUGUUAUGCGCUUCUACCUUUGCUCCACCUCUACUUCAUUGUUAUUUGUAUUUGUUGCUAUUGCCUCUCUGUGGUUUCCAAUUUGUUCCACUGGUUAUGCACUUCUGUUUUUGCUCCAUCUCCACCUCGUUCCCUUUUCUUGGCCGCCAUGAUUAACUUUCGCCACCUUCAUUCAAUCUAAGCCAUUGACAAUGUGCUUUACUGCCUUCCUUUCUCAACUUCCACUCCCCUUGCAAGGGUGUUAUUUCACCUCCUUUCCUAUGCAGUAUUCCUCCACACUGCCCCCAACCCCACUACCUCCUCUUAAGCCCCACUACCCUUCGCUCCAUCAAUGCCACUCGCUCCUUCACACAAUCCAUUAGGUUACCACCACUAUAGUGCUAGACUUCUUGCAGUAAAGGUUCGCAGGACUAGUACCAAGGUUGUAUUUUCUGGUGACCUAUUGGAUAUGGUACCUAUACAUGCCAUACCAAUCUAAGGUGUAUUGAACCAAGUAGAGAGAGAGGAAGAGGGGGAAGGGAGAA